rnacentral:rRNA from 1 species
GAUGAACGCUGGCGGCGUGCCUAAUACAUGCAAGUCGAGCGAACAGAUAAGGAGCUUGCUCCUUUGACGUUAGCGGCGGACGGGUGAGUAACACGUGGAUAACCUACCUAUAAGACUGUGAUAACUUCGGGAAACCGGAGCUAAUACCGGAUAACAUAUUGAACCACAUGGUUCAAUAGUGAAUGGCGGCUUUGCUGUCACUUAUAGAUGGAUCCGCGCCGUAUUAGCUAGUUGGUAAGGUAACGGCUUACCAAGGCAACGAUACGUAGCCGACCUGAGAGGGUGAUCGGCCACACUGGAACUGAGACACGGUCCAGACUCCUACGGGAGGCAGCAGUAGGGAAUCUUCCGCAAUGGGCGAAAGCCUGACGGAGCAACGCCGCGUGAGUGAUGAAGGUCUUCGGGUCGUAGAACUCUGUUAUCAGGGAAGAACAAAUAUGUAAGUAACUGUGCACAUCUUGACGGUACCUGAUCAGAAAGCCACGGCUAACUACGUGCCAGCCGCCGCGGUAA